GUGGCACCCCUCUUGCAGCAACAUGUAGCAGCAUACGGUUGGGCCAUCAAUGAAUCCAAGGUCCAAGGGCCUGGAUUAGCUGCCAAAUUCUUGGGAGUUAUCUGGUCAGCAGCAGCUGCGGACUGCUUGCCUUGGCACAUACACCCCGUGUCUUCAGUGAACUGGACAUGGUUGGAGACUUGGGGCCCCAUGGCUGAUGCCUCGAAUGCAAUGCAGCAAGCUUUGGACAAAGGCUGCCACAAGGCCCAUGGUGCACCCACCCCCUGGCUGGCCCAUAGUGUUUAUAAUGGGUGGGGCUGCCUAAUGGGGGAACAUGUAGUACCCCCAGCCCAGGUGCCAUGAUGCAUAGAGCAACAUUGGGGUAACACCACUGUGGGAUGCCUACCCAUCACAGUCUGUGUAAACAUAACACAUGUCACCAUAUCGAAGGUAUGGUGGAACAAGUGGCCCCACCAAGGUUGGUCCCCGAUAGAUGUUGUGCCCCCGGGGAGUUUAUGGAUCUGUGGGGACACAGGGUGGCCUUACCUACCAGCACACUGGACUGGACAUUGUACCUGGGGGUGGCCUUAUGUACCUGCCACCCCCAUGCCACCUGCCAUGUGUUUUCCCCACAUUGCCCAGAUACCCGCAUAAAUGGGAGGCACUACACUCUCAGUUUUUGUGAGUGCAACAAGCCCCCUGAUGGUUGGCAAUGACUAUCCCUGGAGCAGGUGUCAUAACUGUAGAAGCACAAGUUACUGCUCUUGCAGAGCACAGCACUCGGGCUCUGAAUUACAUCUGAGUGGCCCUCCUGUUAACAGAUGAGGUUGAUCAGAUCAGAAAGGUUUUGUGGCAAAAUCGAAUGGCCUUAGACAUAGUAAUAGCUUCCCAAGGAGGCACCUGUGCCUUUUAAGGAACACAAUGUUGUACCUUUAUCCCUGACAAUCAGCAGAACAUAACAGUAGCUCUGCAACAGGUCUCAUGGGAGAGUAAGGUGGUCCAGAGCCUUACUGAUGACCCCCUGCAGAAAUAGUGGGCAUCCCUAGGCUCUGGCCUACUCUGGGCCCUAAUAGUCAUAAGUAGCAUAGCUGGGAUCCUAGUAGUGAGCUGUUGCUCUCUGUAUUGUUGUUAUUGUUAUUGUUAUGGAUGCAGGGCUCUGCCCUACAGGCACAUGUCCCUGCCCAGAGGGCACUCUCAGCCUAGGGGGUAGAGUGUAAGGGAAAUGGCUAAGCUUUAGUCAGGAGUAGGCUGAAGUGCCCUUCCAGCGCAGCAUGACUCAUCUGGUUUGGAGUGCAGGUGCACAACCCCACACAUUAUGUAACCACACCAUGUGAGGUGCAUUAGGUAUCACCCACGUGAUCUUGUGCUUAGCUCGAAGCUACUGUUGUCUGUAAAAUGUAUAAUUACCCUGCUAACGCUGUACAUAUAGCUUGCUCAUGCCCAGAGAGAGAGAGUAAAGCCACGUCAAAACUGUCUACGAUUCCUUGAGUGUUUUUGCAGCUACCCACCACUUGCCCACUGACUCCCCUUGGACCUCAG
rnacentral:lncRNA from 1 species